rnacentral:lncRNA from 1 species
GCCAUGAGCACUGAUGAAUGAGCAUUCAGGGAUGAAUUAUUUAUCUCAGCUUCACAAACAAUAUUCAGGUUUUGAGCCCUCCCUCUGAGCAUCUUCCUGAGAUGUGAUGCAGUAGAGCUAUCUGGGAAAUCUCAGAGCAUUUUGUGGAAAAGUGAAGAAGGCUCGUCUACGUUUCUCAGCAUGGUCCCAGUGCUGCUGGAACCCAAAAAACAGAGUCCUGAGGAUUCCUCAUUAUUAUUUGAAGUAUACCCCAGAAAAGACUUUACAGUCUAGCAAGAUCUUUGUGCUAACUUAAAAAUUUAGGACACAAGCAAGUAUUCUAGGAUGAGCAUUGAUGGAAAAUUACAAUAUUGUUUGCUGUCUGCUGAAAACAUAAAUCUAGGAGAAAGAAUGUUAUAGGGAGACCUCAGUGGUCCUUGUGUUCCUCCUCCUCUUUAUAAUUCCUCUUUCACACCAGUGCUAGGGAGGCAGCCAGGUAGCUCCAGAUAGUCUGCUAGGCAACUCGCAUCUGGCUCUUUUUAAGGGAGUUACCCUUAAUGAGCUGACACCUAGGAAAUCAGAAGUGAAUGCCCAAAGUGACAUCUUCAUUUCUUCAUCCACUCAUACAGGAAGUAUGACAGCCUGAAAGUGUGAGACUUUGCAGUCCUGGGAGACUAAAGCAGCUAACAAGCAUAUUUACUGUUCAGUGGCAUAGCAUGAAU